UACGGGGGGAGCAAGCGUUGUUCGGAUUUACUGGGCGUAAAGGGCGCGUAGGCGGCCACCGCAAGUCGACUGUGAAAUCUCCGGGCUUAACUCGGAAAGGUCAGCCGAUACUGCGGGGCUAGAGUGCAGAAGGGGCAACUGGAAUUCUCGGUGUAGCGGUGAAAUGCGUAGAUAUCGAGAGGAACACCUGCGGCGAAGGCGGGUUGCUGGGCUGACACUGACGCUGAUUGUGCGAAAGCUAGGGGAGCAAACGGG
rnacentral:rRNA from 1 species